rnacentral:rRNA from 1 species
UACGUAGGGUGCGAGCGUCGUCCGGAAUUACUGGGCGUAAAGGGCGCGCAGGCGGCAGACCAAGUCAGAUGUGAAAUAGCUCGGCUUAACCGGGCGGGGUCAUUUGAAACUGGUCAGCUAGAGUACAGCAGAGGUUAGUGGAAUUCCCGGUGUAGUGGUGAAAUGCGUAGAGAUCGGGAGGAACACCAGAGGCGAAGGCGACUAACUGGGCUGUAACUGACGCUGAGGCGCGAAAGCGUGGGGAGCAAACAGG